rnacentral:lncRNA from 1 species
AAAUGAUCCCUUGAGUGUGCAAUAAAUUUGAGAUAGUUCAAGGAUCAAACACUUAGGAUAACAAGAACCAGUUCCAUACUGAACUAUCAAUCAGAACUUGCUUUUCUUAUCAGUUCUCUUCGCAAGGAAAUGAUCCCUUAAUUGUUCAAUCUUAGCAAGCCAGUCGCAGGACUUUACAGGACACAAAUCGGAUAGAAGAUGGAGAAUAUAAAUUGCUGCGCUGUGGUCCGUCCUUUUGAGAUUCUCAAACCCUUGUAGAUGAAGAGAGAAGUAAAAGGAAUAUGUAUCAGGCCUCUCUGAGAUAUCAUUGCAGCAGUCAAUGUUCCGUUGAUGCUUCCUGUUGAUUGUUCUACAAAAGGAGGAAGAGAGAGUGACCAAGGGUUUGCAUGAGGAAUCAUUAAUGGGAGAUAUCAGAGGAUACAAUUAACCUCAAAACCUACCAUGUUCACCUUUUCUAGAUUCUCUGGUUACGUCCAAUGGCAGCAACGAAGAUUUCUUUAGUAGUUCUUUCUGAGAAAUGCUGCUCCUAAGAGAAAAUAAUUGGAAUAUUUAGCCUUGCUUGACAUCCAUCAGGCUUUGAAAUAUGCAAUUUUCA